CGACUGGAAUGUUUUAAGUUUCUACUUGUGCCUGACAUAGUAGGCAGAUACAUAUGGGGUAACUGUUUCCCAGGAAACGACAGCAGGGCUCUGAAAGAAAAAGGGAGCCGUCAAAGUAAAUAAUGCUGGUGGUGAAAAUCCCCUGCAAUGUUUGUUAAAGGUGAGACUGACUUUGCUCCAAAAUAAGAAAGAACUGCUACUCACAGAGGGAAACUAGCAUGGAUUUUACUUUCUGGAACCAUGAUAUGCCUGAAGCAGCAACACAGUGGCAAUUCCAGAGGGGUAGGAGCUCUGCUACCAUGCAAUGACACUGUAAUUACAAAAUAAGGGAAAAUUAGAAGUAGUACAAGUGUGCAGAACUAGCUCUGGUUGUGAGUUGUCAAAGAAAGCAAUGUAGCUGAUCUCAAAGGAACAUGGAAAGGCAAUGACACAAAGACAACUUUGUAGCAGACUGCUGCACCUGUUGCUUGCUUGCCACCUUAGAAGUCAGAGACCUCACACUGGGACCAAUUAAAACAGAACAAGUUAAUAACUUACAGAAGAAUGAAAUAACAAGAAUACAGUCGUGUUCUUUGCCUUCUCUGGUUUGGUGCUACGUGAAGUUCACUACGAACUUAGGACUUAAAGUUUGUUCUAAGCUGCCUCCAAAUGCGUGAAUACAGGUACAGUUUCCAGAAUAACUCUUCAGAAUUACUCCUGCUUUUAUAGUUCAAAAUUUUUUCACUGUAAUGUGAGCAGGAAACAGUAUAGAACUCUUUUCACCUCCCAGAUGCCCCAGGAAGCACCAGGACUGUAUUUCUAAGUAACUUAUUUGAGAAAACUGGUGAUCUUCAAAUUUAUUUUCAGUCACAAGUUAUUCAGUGGGCAGAAAAUAUUCAAGCAUGAGAAUUUAUCUGAUGACAACAUACGUAUAGUCUGGCAACUUCAAAUGCCAAACGUUCCCAUCAGUUAAAAAAUUGAAGUUAUUCUCUGUCUCAGAACAGAUUGCCUGGCAUUGCUUAACAUCAUGAACAGCAAUUUUGCUAGUCUGUUAUGAGUUGUUAUAAGAACUGCAUUAAAAAGAUCCUUUCCAUCUUCUCCUGCAUUCUUUUUAUUAUUUCCAAACAGCCACUGCAUAGAAAAAUGCUACACUGAUGAGGAUUACUGGCCUCAUUAGACCACGAACAGUUAAGAAUAUCAGAAUAGUAUUAUUACUUAGAAAUAUCACCUACAAUUAAAAUUCUGAUCUGCUUUAAUGGAAAUUUAAAAAUUAAAACAGUUUCUAAUUUACAGAUAAUGAGUCAGUUCUUACUGACAGAAAUUUACAUUUUGCAGGUGCUGCAAAACUGUCUUCUUUUUCC
ensembl:lncRNA